UAGUGGCGAACGGGUGAGUAACACGUGGGCAAUCUGCCCUUCACUCUGGGACAAGCCCUGGAAACGGGGUCUAAUACCGGAUAACACUGCGGAUCGCAUGGUCUGCGGUUAAAAGCUCCGGCGGUGAAGGAUGAGCCCGCGGCCUAUCAGCUUGUUGGUGAGGUAGUGGCUCACCAAGGCGACGACGGGUAGCCGGCCUGAGAGGGCGACCGGCCACACUGGGACUGAGACACGGCCCAGACUCCUACGGGAGGCAGCAGUGGGGAAUAUUGCACAAUGGGCGAAAGCCUGAUGCAGCGACGCCGCGUGAGGGAUGACGGCCUUCGGGUUGUAAACCUCUUUCAGCAGGGAAGAAGCGAAAGUGACGGUACCUGCAGAAGAAGCGCCGGCUAACUACGUGCCAGCAGCCGCGGUAAUACGUAGGGCGCAAGCGUUGUCCGGAAUUAUUGGGCGUAAAGAGCUCGUAGGCGGCUUGUCACGUCGAUUGUGAAAGCCCGAGGCUUAACCUCGGGUCUGCAGUCGAUACGGGCUAGCUAGAGUGGGGUAGGGGAGAUCGGAAUUCCU
rnacentral:rRNA from 1 species